rnacentral:tRNA from 1 species
UCCCCGAUGGCUCAGUGGAUAAAGCAUCUGCCUGCCAUGCAGGAGACCUGGGUUCAAUUCCUGGGUCAGGAA